UGGGAGGAAAAGCCAAGGGCAGAGUACUGGAGAGGUGGCUACACCUGUUACACUGACAUCUCACAUUUUGACUCACAGGAUUACAACUCUUGAAUACAAGUUUAAUGAUAGUUGACUGAGUCAAGAAGCCAAAGAACAAGCAAUGUAGGUGAGCUGAUUUGGUCCUGCCUCAUCACACUGAUCUUAUCAAUGAAAGUACAUGCACAGAUUAUUUGCAUAAAUUUGACGGUCGAUUAGGAUUUGAAGAGACUCUACAGUUGAGGCUUCAAAGCUUCACUCCUCGGACUCUUGUCCAGUUUCUACCACUGGGCCUCAUAGUGUUUCCCUCUUUCGUUUUAUAUCUUCUACUUUACUUGGCCACUGAAAUAAAUCAAAUAUGGAU
rnacentral:lncRNA from 1 species